GUCUUGACAGUGUCCAUUCUUUCACUAGGGGGUCUUUUCAUCAGGGUCACACACGUUUUCAUACUAAUGGGAAUAAGCAGUGUGUAACGAAUAGUAUCACAGCAAUCGUUACAAAUGUUUUAAAGAGUGUCUUGACCUGGACAACAGAGGACAUAAAUGACAUUUUGGUGCAUGGUGAUGAGUUGUACACUUUCAUGAAGCAACAAAAUAUGAUCGGUGACGCUCACGGCAGUGGUUAUGUUUUGGUUGAUGAAUUACCCAGGGAGCUUGAGUGGAACAAUAGGAAGGUUAGUUUAGAGUUUUUAACACCAUGCGCUGGAGUAAUUGGCUUAGAGAUGUAUGAUCCUACUGUCCAAGAUAUAGCCAUGCCUCUAGAUGUUGCUUUACAGAGGGCAAUGAUUGGGGCAGACGCCUGUCUGCUAACUAUUAGAAGGAACACAUGUGCUGUGUUUAAGUUGGGGUCAAGGUAUGCUGUGUUUGAUCCGCAUGCAAGAGGCAACGAUGGUGGUUUGGAGCUUCAUGGUACUAGCAUUGUAGCCUGCUACGACACUUUGUUGAUGGCAUUUAGUCAUGUCACUAACCUUGUUCAUUCCCUCUAUCGGGACGAUCUUGUGGCUGACAAGUCUUUUGAAGUCACUGGUGUUAAAGCUGUUUUAGUUGAUGCAGUCAGUCCAGUUAGUGGCCAGCGAGUAGAUAGUGAUUCUGAGUGGUUUGUGACCAGGUGUCGGUAAAUGAAAGUCUAUUGAUCUUGAGUUGGAGAAUAUAGCAGCAACAAGUACUGAUGAGCCAAGUAUUUGUUUAGUGUCUGAAACAAGUGCCCCUCAAGUAACAUUUAAGUCUUUGACAUUAACUGAUAAGAGGAGGAUCUGCAACAAACUUGAUAUUGUUCCAAGUUUACCUCAUGAGGAUGUUGUUUUAAAUAGCAAGGAAUUGGAGCAGCCUGUACCUUGUACAACCACUGACAUUAAGUCAGAUGGUAAUUGUUUCUUUGGUGCUCUGUCCCAUGUUUUUAGUGGCGUUCAAAGAUAUCAU